GCCGAUGUAGCUCAAUUGGCAGAGCGACUGACUUGUAAUCAGUAGGUUGCCAGUUCAAGUCUGGCCAUCGGCU
rnacentral:tRNA from 1 species